rnacentral:ncRNA from 1 species
AGGUGCUGGCAACCAGCGGCUCUUUGAAGUUGGCCUGCUGCAUCGGGUCAAAGUAGCCACCCGGGUUGCCCGCCAUCCACGUAUAGGUGCGGGUCGAGCUGAGCCACUGUAGGAACAGAUACACCGCCUCGGGAUAGUCCGACUUGGACGAAAUCCACGCGGUGAUGUGAUAGUACAGCACCGAACGGCGGUUGAUCUGAUCGCCAAACUGACGGCCCACCGGCAGGUGG